AGUUAUAUUCAGCAAAUCAAAUAACUUUUUGAGAGAAAAAUAUAAUAAAAAUAAAUUUUUGUAAAGGGUUAAUUUCAUAUAGAUCCCAGUAAACAUAUCGAAUAGUAAAUAUAUUUCUAUAAAGUUUAAUUUUUCAUAUUUAUUCCUGCAAAAGUUCAGUGAUAUUCAUAUUUAUCUCUCUGAUUUGUUGCCGUUUUAGAGUAUUGUUUAUUUAUUAACAAAAAUAAGUGAUAUGAUAUUUUUGUUAUCACAAAUAUAUCCCUUUAAAAGGCCCAACUGUUAGAAUUAUAAAGAAAAAUGUCCUCCCAAAAAUCUCUAAGGGUGCGUUUGGUUCGCGCUAUCUUUUAAAGAUUCCUAGUAAUCUAAUGGGGAUAAAAAAAUAUGACGGUGUUUGGCUAAAAGCACUAAGUAAUCUAGUUGGUAAUAUUGGAUUUACUUGGAAAUAAGAUUCACCUCAAAGUACUAAUCUCAUUCCCUUGUGGGAGGGUGGGUAUCCUCAUAUUAAUGGAUUGGGAUAAUCAUAAUAUGUAUAAUCUCUUUCUUUCUUCUUACCCGCCGGCUAAUUGAUAUUAUUUUUCUUUACACUCUAACCUUAUAUCUCUCUCUAAACUUAUUUUUCUCUCUAAAAUUCAACUUUUUUUUCUCUCUCUAAACUAAGCUUUCUCUCUCUUUCUUUCUAAAAUUUCAACUCUCUCACUCCCUCUAAUUUCGACUAUAUUUUUCUUUCUAUUUUUUUAAUUAUGCUCUCUCUCUCUAACUUAUACUCUCUUUUCUUUUUUCUAAAAAGAUGUUGAAACUUUUGGUAACAUUAUCUAAAAUUAAUUAAAUAAAUAAAUAAAUUAAUUGUAUAUUUUUUGCAAUAUUAAAUAACAUGGCUAAUUAAUAUUACCGUGCGAACCAAACAUAGGAAUUUCACAUUCUUAGCAAUAGGAUGAAAAGGAAUAAGAUUCUCGGAUAUCUUUUAUUCCUAGAAAUUUUUCAUAAUGCGAACCAAACGCACCCUAACGGUUAUCUUCUUCCUUUCCACCACAAAUACUAUAAGAGGGAUAAAAAAAUCAAUUUAUCUUAUUCACCAAUCAAUGUUAAGUAUUUUAUCUAUGGUUAGCUAUAUUUUUCUAACCGAUCCUAGCAGUGGGUGUAUAUUUGAAAACGUUAGAACUUUUGUAGGAAUAAAUAUAAAAAUUUAAAUUUUAUAGGAAUGUAUUUACUAUUCGAUAUAUUUGUAGAAAACUAUUCGUAAGUAACCCUUUUACAAAGAGUUAAUUUCAUACAAUUCUCUGCAAACAUAGUGAAUACCAAAUAUAUCCCUAUAAAGUUCAACUUUCAUAUAUUGUCCUUACAAAAAUCCUAAUGUUUUCAUAUACGUUACUGCCGUUAGAAUUAAUCCGUUAGAAAAUUUUAGUUAAUCAUAGGUUAAAUACUUAACACCGGUUAAUUUUUGAUAUUUUUACCUCUUUAUAUUAUACUGCUAUGUCUUUUAGAGAGGUAUAUUUGUGAUAACAAAAUUGAAAAUAUAAACAGUUCUCUAAACAGUAACAAACCAGAGGAAUAUAUUUAAAAAUAGUAGGACUUUUGUAGAAAUAAUAUAUGAAAGCUGAAUUUUAUAAAAAUAUAUUUGUUAUUUAUUAUGUUUAGAAGAAUCUGUAUGAAAUUAACUCUUUUAUUUAUCUAUUAACCUAUAUGAACCUUUAUUAUUUUUUGUCCAUGUGUCAAGUUUUUUUUCACCCUCAACCCCAUGUGAUCCUAACCCUUUCCUCUAUCAAGUUUUUAAUUAAUAUAUCUAGCUAAUACAUAUAAACGGAUAAACGGUUCUACUAUUAAAACUUCAAUUAACGUAUUUAAAUGUUCCCACAAUCAUAUAUGAUCAUCAUAUUUCUAUUUUUAAUUAAUUUAUCUCGACUCUUACCCUUUCCCCUUUUCCUUCACCUCACACUGCCAUUUAUAAUCCUUAUAUUUUUACUUCUAAUUAAUUCAUCAUGAUCUUUCCCUAGCCAUAUAUAAUCCUCACAUUUCUAUCCAUUCCUCCCCUCCACCUUUUACUGUCAUUUAUAAUCCUCACAUUUUUAUUUCUAAUAAAUUCAUCAUGAUCUUUUCCUUUUCUCUACCAAACUUUCAAUUAAUCCAUCUAAACGAUUCGUCGCCAUCUACAAUCCUCACCUCUCCAUCCCUCAUCUUUUUCUCUAAAUCAUUGCCUCCCUCCUUUCCUCCCUCUCUCGUCACCGUCAUUAUCGCUGCCUCCUUUCCUCCCUCUCUUGUCACCAUCACUAUCGUUGUCACCAGAAAAGGCAUCGUCGAUUCCAUCUCCAGCACCAAUAAUGAAGAACUUUUGAUAGAUAUGACAAGUAAUAUACAUAAAAAAAAUAUUUGAUAUUUAUUUAUUAUUAAUUAGAAUGCGAACUCCUUC
rnacentral:lncRNA from 1 species